rnacentral:rRNA from 1 species
GACAGAGGGUGCAAACGUUGUUCGGAUUUACUGGGCGUAAAGCGCGCGUAGGCGGACCUGCAAGUCGGGGGUGAAAGCCCGAGGCUCAACCUCGGAACUGCCUUCGAUACUGCGGGUCUCGAGUCCGGGAGAGGUGAGUGGAAUUCCUAGUGUAGAGGUGAAAUUCGUAGAUAUUAGGAAGAACACCAGUGGCGAAGGCGGCU